rnacentral:rRNA from 1 species
GACGAACGCUGGCGGCGUGCUUAACACAUGCAAGUCGAACGGAAAGGCCCUGCUUUUGUGGGGUGCUCGAGUGGCGAACGGGUGAGUAACACGUGAGUAACCUGCCCUUGACUUUGGGAUAACUUCAGGGAACUGGGGCUAAUACCGGAUAGGAGCUCCUGCUGCAUGGUGGGGGUUGGAAAGUUUCGGCGGUUGGGGAUGGACUCGCGGCUUAUCAGCUUGUUGGUGGGGUAGUGGCUUACCAAGGCUUUGACGGGUAGCCGGCCUGAGAGGGUGACCGGCCACAGUGGGACUGAGAUACGGCCCAGACUCCUACGGGAGGCAGCAGUGGGGAAUAUUGCACAAUGGGCGGAAGCCGGAUGCAGCAACGCCGCGUGCGGGAUGACGGCCUUCGGGUUGUAAACCGCUUUCGCCUGUGACGAAGCGUGAGUGACGGUAAUGGGUAAAGAAGCACCGGCUAACUACGUG